CCCUGCCUAAAAGCAAACCAGGCUAUUACUUGACUCUCCAUCCUCCUUCUUCAACUCAUCUCCCAACUCACACACCAAUUCACCCUGCCAAAAAUGGAACAGUAGUGCAGCUACCACCUCCUUCCUAUGGGGUGGCUUCAUUCCCUCUUCUCCCCUCUCAAGAGGCUCUGGUUUCGCCGGCAUUCUGCUAACAAAAAGAAGAGAGGGAUAUACAUCCUGUAUGAGGAUGUGAAGUCAUGCCAAUGCGAGGAUGUUCAGAUCCUUUGGUCGAUCCUGGUGGAGUCACACUCACCCUCAUUGAGACUGAAGCAGUGAGGUGCUCCCCAUUGAUCCAUGAAAAAACACCAGAGAAGAUUGAGUUUUUGAUGUGUAUGUGUGUGUAUAUAUAUGAAGACACUGUCAUAUACCCCCAUGAGAGACUCUAAUUCUUGUUUUUUUUUCUUGAUUCGUGAGAAACAAAAGAGAGAGAGAGAGAGAGAGAGAGAGAGAAAGAAAACAUAGAUGGUAUGUUCUGUACAUAUACAGAAGAAAAGAAACAACAACAACAGGGUGUAGUA